AAGAACCUUUUUUAAUUUUAGGUCAAAGCCAAGCGUAUCCGUUGCAACCCAACCCGUAGAUGGGCGGCAGCAGAAGAGAAGUCUCUAAUUGAGUUUCUGUUGGAAAAUCGGCAACUUGAGAAGCCGUCCGCUCAAGCUUACUAUUAGCAAUUCUGCAUGGCAAAAAAUCUAACCAUGGAGUGGAAGCUUGUGCGUUCUAAAGUGCGGAACAUGAGGGUGAGCUACAACAAAGCGAAGACAUGGGAAGGCUCGACGGGAGCAGGUAGCAUGAGUGGCGAAACUAUUAAAAGUACUCUACUAAAAAUGUGCACUUUUUUUUACGAGCUCGAAGACAUUUUUGGGAGCAGAGUUAGUGAAUGUGCCGCAAUCGAAGAUACGAUGACCGCUGAGUAUUCGGAUUUUGAGGGUGCUGUAGAAACUCAGAUAGCAGUACCGAUUGAAGAACCGGAGAGCUCCCAAGGCCCAGAUUGUGUGUUACAUUUAAAUGGUAACGAAAGUUCUGCCGAAAUUAGUUGUACGCCAAGUACGAGCCGUAAGGGCAUUACAGCAGAACGGGGGUUUCGGAAAUAAUGAAACUCCAAGCCGAAGUCGUUAGUUUCAAGAAAGAAAAACUAGAAGCAGAAUUGGCAACAAGAGACAGGGAGUUAGUUAUAAGGGAAAGAGAAUUGGUGUUAAAAGAAAAGAAGUUUGAUUUGAAAGAAAGGAAUUUUAAAAGCGAAGAAAAGCUGAAAGUUCUUGAGCUCGAAAUGAAAGAGCGAUUAGCUAUGGAAGAGCUUAAGCUAAAAUAUAAACAAUUAUUUUAACGUAAUUUA